GAUGAACGCUGGCGGCGUGCCUAAUACAUGCAAGUCGAGCGAAUGGAUUAAGAGCUUGCUCUUAUGAAGUUAGCGGCGGACGGGUGAGUAACACGUGGGUAACCUGCCCAUAAGACUGGGAUAACUCCGGGAAACCGGGGCUAAUACCGGAUAACAUUUUGAACCGCAUGGUUCGAAAUUGAAAGGCGGCUUCGGCUGUCACUUAUGGAUGGACCCGCGUCGCAUUAGCUAGGUGGUGAGGUAACGGCGCACCAAGGCAACGAUGCGUAGACGACCUGAGGGGGCGAUCGGCCACACUGGGACUGAGACACGGCCCAGACUCCUACGGGAGGGAGCAGUAGGGAAUCUGCCGAAAUGGACGAAAGGCUGACGGAGCAACGCCGCGUGAGUGAUGAAGGCUUUCGGGUCGUAAAACUCUGUUGUGAGGGAAGAACAAGUGCUAGUUGAAUAAGCUGACACCUUGACGGUACCUAACCAGAAAGCCACGGCUAACUACGUGUCAGCAGCCGCAGUAA
rnacentral:rRNA from 1 species